CGCGCCGCCGUCGCCACCGCCACCGCCACUACCACCGGCUGAGUCUGCAGUCCCGAGGAGAUCCCAGCCAUCAUGUCCAUAGAGAAGAUCUGGGCCCGGGAGAUCCUGGACUCCCGCGGGAACCCCACAGUGGAGGUGGAUCUCUAUACUGCCAAAGGGCUUUUCCGGGCUGCAGUGCCCAGUGGAGCCUCUACGGGUAUCUAUGAGGCCCUGGAGCUGAGGGAUGGAGACAAACAGCGUUACUUAGGCAAAGGUGUCCUGAAGGCAGUGGACCACAUCAACUCCACCAUCGCGCCAGCCCUCAUCAGCUCAGUGAGGCCUGCUCUUUGCUGGGGAUAGCAGGGCCAGAGUUCUGGAAGUAAUCCCGGAGCAGGGCAGGAGAAAGGGGAGAAAGAAGGCCCACUUUUAGGAAUCAUGGUUACAAGGGGGAAGGGUGGGGAACAGCUUCCUUACUGCCCCCUGCUCCCAUGGGGGAUCAGGUCCCCUAAUCCAGUUGGGCCCCUGUCACGGGACCUGGUUGGACCCUGGCCAAAUGUGAGCUUGGGUGUGAAUGAGGGGACCCUCUGCCUUAGGGCUCAGCCUCCAGCCUGGCCCUGGGUGAUGGAGGCUCUGCCCUCAGGGUCUCUCUGUGGUGGAGCAAGAGAAACUGGACAACCUGAUGCUGGAGUUGGAUGGGACUGAGAACAAAUCCAAGUUUGGGGCCAAUGCCAUCCUGGGUGUGUCUCUGGCCGUGUGUAAGGCAGGGGCAGCUGAGCGGGAACUGCCCCUAUAUCGCCACAUUGCUCAACUGGCCGGGAACUCAGACCUCAUCCUGCCUG
rnacentral:sRNA from 1 species